rnacentral:rRNA from 1 species
AGUGAACGCUGGCGGUAGGCCUAACACAUGCAAGUCGAACGGCAGCACAGUAAGAGCUUGCUCUUACGGGUGGCGAGUGGCGGACGGGUGAGGAAUACAUCGGAAUCUACUUUUUCGUGGGGGAUAACGUAGGGAAACUUACGCUAAUACCGCAUACGACCUACGGGUGAAAGCAGGGGAUCUUCGGACCUUGCGCGAUUGAAUGAGCCGAUGUCGGAUUAGCUAGUUGGCGGGGUAAAGGCACACCAAGGCGACGAUCCGUAGCUGGUCUGAGAGGAUGAUCAGCCACACUGGAACUGAGACACGAUCCAGACUCCUACGGGAGGCAGCAGUGGGGAAUAUUGGACAAUGGGCGCAAGCCUGAUCCAGCCAUACCGCGUGGGUGAAGAAGGCCUUCGGGUUGUAAAGCCCUUUUGUUGGGAAAGAAAAGCAGCAGGUUAAUACCCCGCUGUUCUGACGGUACCCAAAGAAUAAGCACCGGCUAACUUCGUG